rnacentral:rRNA from 1 species
CAGUAGGGAAUCUUCGGCAAUGGGGGCAACCCUGACCGAGCAACGCCGCGUGAGUGAAGAAGGUUUUCGGAUCGUAAAGCUCUGUUGUAAGAGAAGAACGUGUGUGAGAGUGGAAAGUUCACACAGUGACGGUAACUUACCAGAAAGGGACGGCUAACUACGUACCAG